GAUGAACGCUGGCGGCGUGCCUAAAACAUGCAAGUCGAGCGGUAAGGCUCUGCACUUAGUGUUUGAUCGAAGUAAUUUAUUACUACAGUAGACCAAUUGGAACCUUGGCGGGUGAAGAGCGGAAUAGGAAGAUCGAAUUAUAAGUGUAGAGUACACGAGCGGCGGACGGGUGAGUAACACGUGGGAAUCUACCCCAAACUGAGGGAUAAGCACCGGAAACGGUGUCUAAUACCGCAUAUGGUCUUCGGAUUAAAGCUUCGGCGGUUUGGGAAGAGCCCGCGUAAGAUUAGCUAGUUGGUGAGGUAAAGGCUCACCAAGGCGACGAUCUUUAGCUGGUUUGAGAGGAUGAUCAGCCACACUGGAACUGAGACACGGUCCAGACUCCUACGGGAGGCAGCAGUUAGGAAUUUUCCACAAUGGGCGCAAGCCUGAUGGAGCAACGCCGCGUGCAGGAUGAAGGUUUUCGGAUUGUAAACUGCUUUUAUGUGUGAAGAAUAUGACGGUAACAC
rnacentral:rRNA from 1 species